rnacentral:rRNA from 1 species
CCAAGGGUUCCUGCUUAAAGCUAAUCAGUAACGCGUGGGAAUCUACCCAUCUCUACGGAACAACUCCGGGAAACUGGAGCUAAUACCGUAUACGUCCUUCGGGAGAAAGAUUUAUCGGAGAUGGAUGAGCCCGCGUUGGAUUAGCUAGUUGGUGGGGUAAUGGCCUACCAAGGCGACGAUCCAUAGCUGGUCUGAGAGGAUGAUCAGCCACACUGGGACUGAGACACGGCCCAGACUCCUACGGGAGGCAGCAGUGGGGAAUAUUGCACAAUGGGCGGAAGCCUGAUGCAGCAACGCCGCGUGCGGGAUGACGGCCUUCGGGUUGUAAACCGCUUUCGCCUGUGACGAAGCGUGAGUGACGGUAAUGGGUAAAGAAGCACCGGCUAACUACGUGCCAGCAGCCGCGGUGAUACGUAGGGUGCGAGCGUUGUCCGGAUUUAUUGGGCGUAAAGGGCUCGUAGGUGGUUGAUCGCGUCGGAAGUGUAAUCUUGGGGCUUAACCCUGAGCGUGCUUUCGAUACGGGUUGACUUGAGGAAGGUAGGGGAGAAUGGAAUUCCUGGUGGAGCGGUGGAAUGCGCAGAUAUCAGGAGGAACACCAGUGGCGAAGGCGGUUCUCUGGGCCUUUCCUGACGCUGAGGAGCGAAAGCGUGGGGAGCGAACAGGCUUAGAUACCCUGGUAGUCCACGCUGUAAACGGUGGGUACUAGGUGUGGGGUCCAUUCCACGGGUUCCGUGCCGUAGCUAACGCUUUAAGUACCCCGCCUGGGGAGUACGG